rnacentral:rRNA from 1 species
CCAGCAGCCGCGGUAAUUCCUACGGGAGGCAGCAGUGGGGAAUUUUGGACAAUGGGCGCAAGCCUGAUCCAGUAAUGCCGCGUGAGUGAAGAAGGCCUUCGGGUUGUAAAGCUCUUUCAGUCGAGAAGAAAAAGCUGCAGUGAAUAACUGUAGUUCAUGACGGUAUCGACAGAAGAAGCACCGGCUAACUACGUGCCAGCAGCCGCGGUAAU